rnacentral:tRNA from 1 species
GAGGGUAUAGCUCAAGUGGUAGAGCACAUGCUUAGCACGCACGAGGUCCCGGGUUCAAUUCCCCAGUACCUCCA